GCACGAGUGGCGAAAUUGGUAGACGCACCGGACUUAGGAUCCGGCUCCUUUACCGGAGUGGGGGUUCGAGUCCCUCCUCGUGCACCA
rnacentral:tRNA from 2 species